CCUGGACAAACACUAAAGACUUACUAGGGGGCUUAAGGAGUUUCAAAGACCUCCUACCUCUGAAAAAAAUCCACUUCCCCUAAAUUAAAUUACUCGAUUCACCAAAGAGUGCAGUUUUGCAAAUGACAGGAGUGGAAUUUCAUCACAGGAUAACACCGGACAUGUUGAACACAGAAUAAGCGAAUUUUCUGGUCGUAAAUUGGCGAUAAAUCAUGCCAAAUCCGAACAAUUUUACACCCAUUUGAAAAUGUUAAAAGGAAGCAGUUUCAAUCCUGAUGACGGUUAAUGUUAAUGAUUAUUUAAUUUCAAUAGGAUUAUUUAUUAAAGACAGACUUCCACUCUUAUUUAGUAGCCCCUAUGAAUGUAGUUUUUAAAUCUGUACACAUUGAAUGACGAAAAAAUUAGAAAUCUUUCAAAAUUCUUAAUUUGUUUACGUUUCUUUAUUUCUUUGGAAGCGCCAAAAGCUGACAUGAUUUAUGGAACAAUUAGCAGUGUUUUAUUUAUUAUGAUAAAUACACAUGUUAAUUAAUUUACAUGAGAAAGAAAUUUACCUCGACCUCACUUAAUACUCUUGUAUACCAAUUAAAUAUUCAGAAGGAAAAAAGCUAUCUUUCCGAAUGCAUUUUCAUGAUUUCUUACGUCUCUCCUUGUGUUUUAUGUAAACACAAAAAUUUUGCAGUCACGCAAACAAUAUAGCUAAAAAGGAGAUAUGGAGAAAGUGUGUUCCUAAUGAGACCCAAAGGAAUGAAAUUAAUUAUUCUGUUUCGAACAUCACUGCAUGCACAUUUCUUUGACGCCAAUAGUUUUAAAUUUAUGCAAGCUCAAAUGAAAAUUUCAUCAGCAUGUAAAUUUCGCAACGUUCAUUUGAAAUUGUAAAUAACGGUGUGUGAUUACAAGAACUCUACAGAUCAGAUAGAGUACUAACUGAAUGUGGUAACAGACAAAUGUUCCUUAUAGAUAGUAGAGCUUUUGUCUGAAUACGUGACAUGUUCUUGAUAAAAUAAUUUUAUAUGUCGUUAUCUUUUUUUUCAUAAUAGUGUAGGUUUUGUUCCUUAGAAAUUGUUGUUGAAAACCUUUUAUAUGUAUAUAUACCAUUUUCCUCAUGAUAAACAUAAAGAAGCUUAUAAAAUAAAUUGUAUAUUCUUUUCA